UUGUGAUAAAUAUCGCAUCGCCAGAUUUAGAUGAGUUGUGUCACGGUCUGGGGGUGUCAUCUUUCUCUGAUUUACUUUUUGAGCUUCCUUUCCUCUGCAGGUGGGCGUGUCCGGUUGUGGGGAAGUUGCUAGCAGCUGCAAGCAAUCCACUCAUCACCUGCCAGGGGAUAUUUAAGCACCUGAGAGGCGGCUUCACUUUGCUGGAUGAUUAACUCUACUUGGGUACUCAACUAACAGCCGAACAACUUGUAUCUCCUAGUGAUUUGACUUUUAUCUGGAUUUUGAGCUCUUCAUGAUUUUUGACCACUUGUCUUCCUACCUUUUCACCCAGACAUCCUGUUACAAUAACUACCUGGUCAACCUGCCAUUCGCCUCUCAGCGUCCUCCCAUGGUCUCCCCCACGCCGGCUCCCCACCUUCCUCCUGGAUCUCCUGCUCAGUAAUUGCUCAGCUCCCUCCUCGCCUGGACUCUCAGCUUCCUCUAACUCAGUAAGCCAUCUGCUUCCCCCCCAGACCAGACAACCAACCUCUCCCGAACAUUCUAACUGAACCUUCAGACCACUCCCCCCACCGGAUCCCAGCAGUCCAGCCUGACAUUUUGUUCCUGCAAUUUCUCCUUUAUAAUAAAUCAUUAUUUAACUCUAA